GGGUUGUGAGGUUAAGCGACUAAGCGUACACGGUGGAUGCCCUGGCAGUCAGAGGCGAUGAAGGACGUGCUAAUCUGCGAAAAGCGUCGGUAAGGUGAUAUGAACCGUUAUAACCGGCGAUGUCCGAAUGGGGAAACCCAGUGUGAUUCGUCACACUAUCGUUAACUGAAUACAUAGGUUAACGAGGCGAACCGGGGGAACUGAAACAUCUAAGUACCCCGAGGAAAAGAAAUCAACCGAGAUUCCCCCAGUAGCGGCGAGCGAACGGGGAGCAGCCCAGAGUCUGAAUCAGCUUGUGUGUUAGUGGAACGGUCUGGAAAGUCCGACGGUACAGGGUGAUAGUCCCGUACACCAAAAUGCACAGGCUGUGAACUCGAAGAGUAGGGCGGGACACGUGGUAUCCUGUCUGAAUAUGGGGGGACCAUCCUCCAAGGCUAAAUACUCCUGACUGACCGAUAGUGAACCAGUACCGUGAGGGAAAGGCGAAAAGAACCCCGGCGAGGGGAGUGAAAAAGAACCUGAAACCGUGUACGUACAAGCAGUGGGAGCACCUUCGGGUGUGACUGCGUACCUUUUGUAUAAUGGGUCAGCGACUUAUAUUCUGUAGCAAGGUUAACCGUAUAGGGGAGCCGCAGGGAAACCGAGUCUUAACUGGGCGUUAAGUUGCAGGGUAUAGACCCGAAACCCGGUGAUCUAGCCAUGGGCAGGUUGAAGGUUGGGUAACACUAACUGGAGGACCGAACCGACUAAUGUUGAAAAAUUAGCGGAUGACUUGUGGCUGGGGGUGAAAGGCCAAUCAAACCGGGAGAUAGCUGGUUCUCCCCGAAAGCUAUUUAGGUAGCGCCUCGUGAAUUCAUCUUCGGGGGUAGAGCACUGUUUCGGCUAGGGGGUCAUCCCGACUUACCAACCCGAUGCAAACUACGAAUACCGAAGAAUGUUAUCACGGGAGACACACGGCGGGUGCUAACGUCCGUCGUGAAGAGGGAAACAACCCAGACCGCCAGCUAAGGUCCCAAAGUCAUGGUUAAGUGGGAAACGAUGUGGGAAGGCACAGACAGCCAGGAUGUUGGCUUAGAAGCAGCCAUCAUUUAAAGAAAGCGUAAUAGCUCACUGGUCGAGUCGGCCUGCGCGGAAGAUGUAACGGGGCUAAACCAUGCACCGAAGCUGCGGCAGCGACACUAUGUGUUGUUGGGUAGGGGAGCGUUCUGUAAGCCUGCGAAGGUGACCUGUGAGGGUUGCUGGAGGUAUCAGAAGUGCGAAUGCUGACAUAAGUAACGAUAAAGCGGGUGAAAAGCCCGCUCGCCGGAAGACCAAGGGUUCCUGUCCAACGUUAAUCGGGGCAGGGUGAGUCGACCCCUAAGGCGAGGCCGAAAGGCGUAGUCGAUGGGAAACAGGUUAAUAUUCCUGUACUUGGUGUUACUGCGAAGGGGGGACGGAGAAGGCUAUGUUAGCCGGGCGACGGUUGUCCCGGUUUAAGCAUGUAGGCUGGUUGUCCAGGCAAAUCCGGAUAAUCAAGGCUGAGGUGUGAUGACGAGGCACUACGGUGCUGAAGUAACAAAUGCCCUGCUUCCAGGAAAAGCCUCUAAGCAUCAGGUAACAUCAAAUCGUACCCCAAACCGACACAGGUGGUCAGGUAGAGAAUACCAAGGCGCUUGAGAGAACUCGGGUGAAGGAACUAGGCAAAAUGGUGCCGUAACUUCGGGAGAAGGCACGCUGGUGUGUAGGUGAAGUCCCUGCGGAUGGAGCUGAGACCAGUCGAAGAUACCAGCUGGCUGCAACUGUUUAUUAAAAACACAGCACUGUGCAAACACGAAAGUGGACGUAUACGGUGUGACGCCUGCCCGGUGCCGGAAGGUUAAUUGAUGGGGUUAUCCGUAAGGAGAAGCUCUUGAUCGAAGCCCCGGUAAACGGCGGCCGUAACUAUAACGGUCCUAAGGUAGCGAAAUUCCUUGUCGGGUAAGUUCCGACCUGCACGAAUGGCGUAAUGAUGGCCAGGCUGUCUCCACCCGAGACUCAGUGAAAUUGAACUCGCUGUGAAGAUGCAGUGUACCCGCGGCAAGACGGAAAGACCCCGUGAACCUUUACUAUAGCUUGACACUGAACAUUGAGCCUUGAUGUGUAGGAUAGGUGGGAGGCUUUGAAGCGUGGACGCCAGUCUGCGUGGAGCCAACCUUGAAAUACCACCCUUUAAUGUUUGAUGUUCUAACGUUGGCCCCU
rnacentral:rRNA from 1 species